rnacentral:rRNA from 1 species
GUGAACGCUGGCGGUAGGCCUAACACAUGCCCGUCGAACGGCAGCACAGUAAGAGCUUGCUCUUACGGGUGGCGAGUGGCGGACGGGUGAGGAAUACAUCGGAAUCUACUUUUUCGUGGGGGAUAACGUAGGGAAACUUACGCUAAUACCGCAUACGACCUACGGGUGAAAGCAGGGGAUCUUCGGACCUUGCGCGAUUGAAUGAGCCGAUGUCGGAUUAGCUAGUUGGCGGGGUAAAGGCCCACCAAGGCGACGAUCCGUAGCUGGUCUGAGAGGAUGAUCAGCCACACUGGAACUGAGACACGGUCCAGACUCCUACGGGGGGCAGCAGUGGGGAAUAUUGGACAAUGGGCGCAAGCCUGAUCCAGCCAUACCGCGUGGGUGAAGAAGGCCUUCGGGUUGUAAAGCCCUUUUGUUGGGAAAGAAAAGCAGCAGGUUAAUACCCCGCUGUUCUGACGGUACCCAAAGAAUAAGCACCGGCUAACUUCGUG